AAGUCGUAGCAAGGUUUCCGUAGGUGAACCUGCGGAAGGAUCAUUAGAGAUUGGCCUCUGUGCCGUUUUCGAAAGAUACACACACACACACACCGUGAACCGUUCCCAAAGGCCCUCCCGGGUCGAGGGACUCAUCUCCAAAACAAACUGUACCAUGAACGUCAUUUAAAGAAACAAACAAACAAAACUUUCAACAACGGAUCUCUAGGCUCUCGCAUCGAUGAAGAACGCAGCGAAAUGCGAUAAGUAAUGUGAAUUGCAGAAUUCAGUGAAUCAUCGAAUCUUUGAACGCACCUUGCGCCCCUUGGUAUUCCGAGGGGCAUGCCUGUUUGAGUGUCUUAUGAACAAUCAAUCCCCCCCUCGUCUUUGUUGACCUGGGUUCUGGUGGACUUGGAAGUGGGCGUCUGCCGGUCAUCCCCGGCUCGCCUUAAAGACCUUAGUGGAGAUGGCCGCCCUGGCCGGACGUGAUGAGUUUCGUCCGACUCUGGGGUGUGUGUCCUCCCGCUGCCAACCUCGAGUGACCCGUCCUCAGGACGUGGACCUCCUUCUUGCUGGACCUCAAAUCAGGUAGGACUACCCGCUGAACUUA
rnacentral:rRNA from 1 species